GCCGCCAACAAUCUAGCCCAAACCUGCCUUUUCCCACCUUCAUGCCUUUUUACCCACCCUAAAUCAUUCUCUAUCUCUAGUAUAUGCGAUUGAAAAAGAACUUGGAGCAACACAAAUAGUACCGCAAGGGAAAGAUGAAAUAGAAGUUAAACAAAUACUUUAAGCACAAAACAGCAAAGAUUACCACUUGUACCUUUUGCAUCAUGGUCUAACAAGUCAAACCAGGCAAAAAGACUUUUAGUCUGCCCCCCCGAAACUAAGUGAGCUACUCCGAGGCAACCUUAGAGUGAACCCGUCUCUGUAGCAAAAGAGUGGGAUGACCUCCGAGUAGAGGUGAUAUACCUAUCGAACUUAGUGAUAGCUGGUUACUCAAGAAAAGAAUAUUAGUUCUUCCUUGGGAAAACUUAAACGCAAAUCUUUUGCUAAGCGAAUCCAAUUUCCCAAGAAUUAUUCAAUAAGGGUACAGCCUUAUUGAAAAAGGAUACAACCUAAAGCCCAGGUUAACGACCUCACACCACCUAGACUAAGUUGGCCUAAAAGCAGCCACCUUCUAAAAUAGCGUCAAAGCUUAUUCUACUAAAUUAUUCAAUUCUACUCCCCAAACGGAACCCGGCACAAGUAUUGAGUCGUUCUAUAACUUUAUAGAAGAGUUAAUGCUAGAACUAGUAACACAGAAUUACUUCUCUCUAUGCAAGUGUAAAUCAGAUCGAAUAAAUCACUGAUGUUUACCCAGUAAUGAAACUAAUGUAGAAACCUCUCUAGAAAACCCUACAACUUCCCCUGUUAACCUAACACCAGAGCAUAAGAGAAAGAUUAAAAGACAAAGAAGGAACUCGGCAAACCCAAGUCCCGCCUGUUUACCAAAAACAUCGCCUUUUGACCACUAUAUAAGGUAAUGCCUGCCCAGUGACCAUGUGUUUAACGGCCGCGGUAUUCUGACCGCGCAAAGGUAGCGUAAUCACUUGUUUUUUAAAUAAAGACUAGUAUGAACGGCCCCACGAGGACUUAACUGUCUCCCUUGUCCAAUCAGUGAAACUGAUCUCCCCGUGCAGAAGCGAGGAUCUUUCCAUAAGACGAGAAGACCCUAUGGAGCUUUAAACUAAAAUCAACUAUUAUUCACCCAUUUUCUAAGGAACCAACAAAUAACUGAAUAUGCUUGACUUAAGUUUUAGGUUGGGGCGACCAUGGAGAAAAAAAGAUCCUCCCUGAUGACUAUAAACCAAGAACCACAACUCUAAGUAUUAAGACACUUAACUCUAAUUGACCCAUUUUAUGAUCAACGAACUAAGUUACCCUAGGGAUAACAGCGCAAUCCAUUUCAAGAGUCCCUAUCGACAAAUGGGUUUACGACCUCGAUGUUGGAUCAGGGCAUCCAAG
rnacentral:rRNA from 1 species